rnacentral:rRNA from 1 species
GACGAACGCUGGCGGCGUGCCUAAUACAUGCAAGUCGAGCGAGCUCGCCUAGAUGAUUUUAGUGCUUGCACUUAAUGAAACUAGAUACAAGCGAGCGGCGGACGGGUGAGUAACACGUGGGUAAUCAGCCCAAGAGACUGGGACAACACCUGGAAACAGAUGCUAAUACCGGUCAACAACACUAGACGCAUGUCUAGAGUGUGAAAGACGGUUCUGCCAUCACUCUUUGAUGGACCUGCGGUGCAUUAGCUAGUUGGUAAGGUAACGGCUUACCAAGGCAAAGAUGCAUAGCCGGUUUGAGAGAAUGAUCAGACACAUUGGAACUGAGACACGGCCCAGACUCCUGCGGGAGGCAGCAGUAGGGAAUCUUACACAAUGGACGAAAGUCUGAUGGAGCAACGCCGCGUGAGUGAAGAAGGGUUUCGGCUCGUAAAGCUCUGUUGGUAGUGAAGAAAGAUAGAGGUAGUAACUGGCCUUUAUUUGACGGUAAUUACAUAGAAAGACACGGCUAACUACGUG